UUGGUUAAGUUAGAAAGGGCGCACGGUGGAUGCCUUGGCACUAGGAGCCGAAGAAGGACGGGACUAACACCGAUAUGCUUUGGGGAGCUGUACGUAAGCGUUGAUCCAGAGAUUUCCGAAUGGGGGAACCCACUAUCUUUAGUCGGAUAGUAUCCUUACGUGAAUACAUAGCGUAAGGAAGGCAGACCCAGGGAACUGAAACAUCUAAGUACCUGGAGGAAGAGAAAGAAAAAUCGAUUUCCUGAGUAGCGGCGAGCGAAACGGAAAGAGCCCAAACCAAGAAGCUUGCUUCUUGGGGUUGUAGGACACUCUAUACGGAGUUACAAAAGAAAGUUAUAAAUGAAGCGGUCUGGAAAGGCCCGCCAAAGACGGUAACAGCCCGGUAGUUGAAAUGGCUUUCCCUCCAGAGUGGAUCCUGAGUACGGCGGAACACGUGAAAUUCCGUCGGAAUCCGGGAGGACCAUCUCCCAAGGCUAAAUACUCCCUAGUGACCGAUAGUGAACCAGUACCGUGAGGGAAAGGUGAAAAGCACCCCGGAAGGGGAGUGAAACAGUUCCUGAAACCGUGUGCCUACAAGUAGUUAGAGCCCGUUAAUGGGUGAUAGCGUGCCUUUUGUAGAAUGAACCGGCGAGUUACGAUUUGUUGCAAGGUUAAGCGGAAAAAGCGGAGCCGUAGCGAAAGCGAGUCUGAAUAGGGCGCAUAAGUAACAGGUCGUAGACCCGAAACCAGGUGAUCUACCCAUGUCCAGGAUGAAGGUAAGGUAAUACUUACUGGAGGUCCGAACCCACGCACGUUGAAAAGUGCGGGGAUGAGGUGUGGGUAGCGGAGAAAUUCCAAUCGAACUUGGAGAUAGCUGGUUCUCUCCGAAAUAGCUUUAGGGCUAGCCUCGAGGUAAAGAGUCAUGGAGGUAGAGCACUGUUUGGACUAGGGGCCCUUCUCGGGUUACCGAAUUCAGAUAAACUCCGAAUGCCAUGUACUUAUACUCGGGAGUCAGACUGCGAGUGAUAAGAUCCGUAGUCGAAAGGGAAACAGCCCAGACCACCAGUUAAGGUCCCCAAAUAUAUGUUAAGUGGAAAAGGAUGUGGGGUUGCUUAGACAACCAGGAUGUUGGCUUAGAAGCAGCCACCAUUGAAAGAGUGCGUAAUAGCUCACUGGUCGAGUGACCCCGCGCCGAAAAUGUACCGGGGCUAAACAUAUUACCGAAACUGUGGAUGAACCUCUUUAGAGGUUCGUGGUAGGAGAGCGUUCUAAGGGCGGUGAAGUCAGACCGGAAGGACUGGUGGAGCGCUUAGAAGUGAGAAUGCCGGUAUGAGUAGCGAAAGAAGGGUGAGAAUCCCUUCCACCGAAUAUCUAAGGUUUCCUGAGGAAGGCUCGUCCGCUCAGGGUUAGUCGGGACCUAAGCCGAGGCCGAUAGGCGUAGGCGAUGGACAACAGGUAGAGAUUCCUGUACCAGUGCUAAUUGUUUAACCGAUGGGGUGACACAGAAGGAUAGGGAAUCGCACGAAU
rnacentral:rRNA from 1 species